ACGGGUGAGUAACGCGUGGGAAUCUACCCUUGACUACGGAAUAACGCAGGGAAACUUGUGCUAAUACCGUAUGUGUCCUUCGGGAGAAAGAUUUAUCGGUCAAGGAUGAGCCCGCGUUGGAUUAGCUAGUUGGUGGGGUAAAGGCCUACCAAGGCGACGAUCCAUAGCUGGUCUGAGAGGAUGAUCAGCCACAUUGGGACUGAGACACGGCCCAAACUCCUACGGGAGGCAGCAGUGGGGAAUAUUGGACAAUGGGCGCAAGCCUGAUCCAGCCAUGCCGCGUGAGUGGUGAAGGCCCUAGGGUUGUAAAGCUCUUUCACCGGAGAAGAUAAUGACGGUAUCCGGAGAAGAAGCCCCGGCUAACUUCGUGCCAGCAGCCGCGGUAAUACGAAGGGGGCUAGCGUUGUUCGGAAUUACUGGGCGUAAAGCGCACGUAGGCGGAUCGAUCAGUCAGGGGUGAAAUCCCAGGGCUCAACCCUGGAACUGCCUUUGAUACUGUCGAUCUGGAGUAUGGAAGAGGUGAGCGGAAUUCCGAGUGUAGAGGUGAAAUUCGUAGA
rnacentral:rRNA from 1 species